rnacentral:rRNA from 1 species
GACAGAGGGUGCAAACGUUGUUCGGAAUUACUGGGCGUAAAGCGCGCGUAGGCGGCCUUGCAAGUCGGGUGUGAAAUCCCCAGGCUUAACCUGGGAACUGCAUUCGAGACUGCAUUGCUAGAGUAUGGGAGAGGGAAGUGGAAUUUCAGGUGUAGCGGUGAAAUGCGUAGAUAUCUGAAGGAACAUCAGUGGCGAAAGCGACUUCCUGGACCAAUACUGACGCUCAUGUGCGAAAGCGUGGGGAGCAAACAGG